UUUGUAGUCUUCUUUGUCAACUUUGCAAAAACUUUAAAUGCCCUCUUGUUUUUGAUUUGUUAUGUCUUCUAAUGCACUUUUCAAUUUGGAAGCCAUCUUUGCCCGUAAGAGAAGAAUGCAAUUUUUCCCCUAUUUUUGGAAUGAAUGUCAGAGCCACGAAUGUGGAAAAUGAAUUAUGUGUUAAAACAACAAAAACCGCAAUUUUCUAAUGCACAUUGACAAAAUUAUGAAAGUGUCCUUAAAAACUGAAAAUUAGAGCAAGUUUUUUUCAAUAAAGACUAAUCAGUGACCAAAUCUUUUGACCAAAAACUACACUUUUUCACAUUCUUGACUUCCAAUCUAUAUAACUAUUAACUGAAUAAUCAUGUGGUAAGGUGGAUCGUGGUAAAUUUUGUCACCAAUCUAGCAGAUAUCUUAAGAUCAGAAACAAAACAAUCUGUGCCACAUUUUAUGCAGAUCGGUUGAAAAUUGUAGUUACAAUGGUCACUUAAGUGCAAACCGGGCGAUAUAUAUAUAUAUAUAUAUGGGAGAUAUCUCCAAAUAUGAACCGAUUUUGAUGAAAUCUUGCAGAUAUGUUGGGAUCAGGAACAAACAAAUCCGUGCCAAAUUUUGUGCAGAUCGGGCGAUACACUUAUAUAGGAGCUAAAUCUAAAUCUGAACCUAUUUUUACAAAAACAA